rnacentral:tRNA from 1 species
GGGCCCAUAGCUCAGUUGGUUAGAGCAGCUGACUCAUAAUCUGCGGGUCGGGGGUUCAAGUCCCUCUGGGCCCACCA